CCUACGUGUGGCAGCAGUGGGGGAUAUUGCACAAUGGGGGGAACCCUGAUGCAGCGACGCCGCGUGGGUGAAGGAGUGCUUCGGCAUGUAAAGCCCUAUCGGCAGGGAAGAAGCAAGACGGUACCUGACUAAGAAGCCUCGGCUAACUACGUGCCAGCAGCCGCGGUAAGACGUAGGGGGCGAGCGUUAUCCGGAUUCGCUGGGUGUAAAGGGAGAGUAGGCGGUCAUGCAAGCCAGGGGUGAAAGCCCCGGGCCCAACCCGGGAACUGCCCUUGAAACGGGGUGGCGAGAGUGCGGGAGGGGCGGGCGGAAUGCGUGGGGUAGCGGUGAAAUGCGUAGAUAUAAGGAGGAACACCAGCGGCGAAGGCGACCAUCUGGAACACGACGGACGUUGAGGCUCGAAAGCGUGGGGAGCGAACAGGAUUAGAUACCCUUGUAGGC
rnacentral:rRNA from 1 species